rnacentral:rRNA from 1 species
GAAUUCGCCCUUAGAGUUUGAUCCUGGCUCAGGACGAACGCUGGCGGCGCGCCUAACACAUGCAAGUCGAACGAGCGAGAGAGAGCUUGCUUUCUUGAGCGAGUGGCGAACGGGUGAGUAACGCGUGAGGAACCUGCCUCAAAGAGGGGGACAACAGUUGGAAACGACUGCUAAUACCGCAUAAGCCCACGGCUCGGCAUCGAGCAGAGGGAAAAGGAGCAAUCCGCUUUGAGAUGGCCUCGCGUCCGAUUAGCUAGUUGGUGAGGUAACGGCCCACCAAGGCGACGAUCGGUAGCCGGACUGAGAGGUUGAACGGCCACAUUGGGACUGAGACACGGCCCAGACUCCUACGGGAGGCAGCAGUGGGGAAUAUUGCACAAUGGGGGAAACCCUGAUGCAGCGACGCCGCGUGGAGGAAGAAGGUCUUCGGAUUGUAAACUCCUGUUGUUGAGGAAGAUAAUGACGGUACUCAACAAGGAAGUGACGGCUAACUACGUGCCAGCAGCCGCGGUAAAACGUAGGUCACAAGCGUUGUCCGGAAUUACUGGGUGUAAAGGGAGCGCAGGCGGGAAGACAAGUUGGAAGUGAAAUCCAUGGGCUCAACCCAUGAACUGCUUUCAAAACUGUUUUUCUUGAGUAGUGCAGAGGUAGGCGGAAUUCCCGGUGUAGCGGUGGAAUGCGUAGAUAUCGGGAGGAACACCAGUGGCGAAGGCGGCCUACUGGGCACCAACUGACGCUGAGGCUCGAAAGUGUGGGUAGCAAACAGGAUUAGAUACCCUGGUAGUCCACACUGUAAACGAUGAUU